rnacentral:rRNA from 1 species
GACGAACGCUGGCGGCGUGCCUAAUACAUGCAAGUAGAACGCUGAAGGAGGAGCUUGCUUCUCUGGAUGAGUUGCGAACGGGUGAGUAACGCGUAGGUAACCUGCCUGGUAGCGGGGGAUAACUAUUGGAAACGAUAGCUAAUACCGCAUAAUAGUAGAUGUUGCAUGACAUUUGCUUAAAAGGUGCAAUUGCAUCACUACCAGAUGGACCUGCGUUGUAUUAGCUAGUUGGUGGGGUAACGGCUCACCAAGGCGACGAUACAUAGCCGACCUGAGAGGGUGAUCGGCAACACUGGGACUGAGACACGGCCCAGACUCCUACGGGAGGCAGCAGUAGGGAAUCUUCGGCAAUGGACGGAAGUCUGACCGAGCAACGCCGCGUGAGUGAAGAAGGUUUUCGGAUCGUAAAGCUCUGUUGUAAGAGAAGAACGAGUGUGAGAGUGGAAAGUUCACACUGUGACGGUAUCUUACCAGAAAGGGACGGCUAACUACGUG